GCUAGCACCACGUCCCACGCUCUCCUACUUCCUCUGUCUCGAUUCUUUCUUUCUUUAAAAUUAGAUGUUGACUUGCAAUGGGUUUAGAAGCCAUUUACUUGAAUCCCUUCAUUUUCACAUUAGAAUUUUGAUAUUUUAAGCUUAAUUAUAUCAUUGUAGAAAACAUGGAAAGUACAGACAAAGGAGAGAUGACAACCAACCAACAAUCCACUAGCGAUCAGAUCCCAACCACUCCUCCUCCACACCAGCCCUGUGGACUUUUCGGGACAGGAAGACUUGGACUUUCCGAGUGAUUGGAGAAGCACAAGACUGACAACAAACCCGGGUGUGUAGGUCAUGUUAAAACCAUUCUGGGGAAGACAGCUAUGAAGGGUAUGCAAUUAUUCUCCUGAGCUUCCUGCAAAACUCCUUUAUGAAAUUUAAAGAAAAAGAUGUCCAACUUGAUGCCUGCCUUCCUUGAUCCAAGCAGUUUUUUGAUCCCACCAGCUCAGUACUUCUUAGAGAUCAGUACAUUUCUCACCUUGGCAUUUCCAGGGCAUUUGUUUGUGUAUAGCUCCAUCUCUCCUGAUGCAGUAUGAACUUCCUCAAGGCAAAGAUCCAACUCCUA
ensembl:lncRNA